GAGAAGUCAACUUUGCUCACUCCACCUCAGCGGCUGGUCAGCGCACAUCCCCACCAGGAGAGAGAGAGCAAGAGAGAGAGAGAGAGAGAGAGAGAGAGAGAGAGAGAGAGAGAGAGAGAGAGAGAGAGAGAGAGAGAGAGAGAGAGAGAGAGAGAGAGAGAGAGAGAGAGAGAGA